GGAAGAGCCCAAACCAACAAGCUUGCUUGUUGGGGUUGUAGGACACUCUAUACGGAGUUACAAAGGACGACAUUAGACGAAUCAUCUGGAAAGAUGAAUCAAAGAAGGUAAUAAUCCUGUAGUCGAAAAUGUUGUCUCUCUUGAGUGGAUCCUGAGUACGACGGAGCACGUGAAAUUCCGUCGGAAUCUGGGAGGACCAUCUCCUAAGGCUAAAUACUCUCUAGUGACCGAUAGUGAACCAGUACCGUGAGGGAAAGGUGAAAAGCACCCCGGAAGGGGAGUGAAAUAGAACCUGAAACCGUGUGCUUACAAGUAGUCAGAGCCCGUUAAUGGGUGAUGGCGUGCCUUUUGUAGAAUGAACCGGCGAGUUACGAUUUGAUGCAAGGUUAAGCAGUAAAUGUGGAGCCGUAGCGAAAGCGAGUCUGAAUAGGGCGUUUAGUAUUUGGUCGUAGACCCGAAACCAGGUGAUCUACCCUUGGUCAGGUUGAAGUUCAGGUAACACUGAAUGGAGGACCGAACCGACUUACGUUGAAAAGUGAGCGGAUGAACUGAGGGUAGCGGAGAAAUUCCAAUCGAACCUGGAGAUAGCUGGUUCUCUCCGAAAUAGCUUUAGGGCUAGCCUCAAGUGAUGAUUAUUGGAGGUAGAGCACUGUUUGGACGAGGGGCCCCUCUCGGGUUACCGAAUUCAGACAAACUCCGAAUGCCAAUUAAUUUAACUUGGGAGUCAGAACAUGGGUGAUAAGGUCCGUGUUCGAAAGGGAAACAGCCCAGACCACCAGCUAAGGUCCCAAAAUAUAUGUUAAGUGGAAAAGGAUGUGGCGUUGCCCAGACAACUAGGAUGUUGGCUUAGAAGCAGCCAUCAUUUAAAGAGUGCGUAAUAGCUCACUAGUCGAGUGACACUGCGCCGAAAAUGUACCGGGGCUAAACAUAUUACCGAAGCUGUGGAUUGUCCUUUGGACAAUGGUAGGAGAGCGUUCUAAGGGCGUUGAAGCAUGAUCGUAAGGACAUGUGGAGCGCUUAGAAGUGAGAAUGCCGGUGUGAGUAGCGAAAGACGGGUGAGAAUCCCGUCCACCGAUUGACUAAGGUUUCCAGAGGAAGGCUCGUCCGCUCUGGGUUAGUCGGGUCCUAAGCUGAGGCCGACAGGCGUAGGCGAUGGAUAACAGGUUGAUAUUCCUGUACCACCUAUAAUCGUUUUAAUCGAUGGGGGGACGCAGUAGGNNNNNNNNNNNNNNNNNNNNNNNNNNNNNNNNNNNNNNNNNNNNNNNNNNNNNNNNNNNNNNNNNNNNNNNNNNNNNNNNNNNNNNNNNNNNNNNNNNGAUAGGCGAAGCGUGCGAUUGGAUUGCACGUCUAAGCAGUAAGGCUGAGUAUUAGGCAAAUCCGGUACUCGUUAAGGCUGAGCUGUGAUGGGGAGAAGACAUUGUGUCUUCGAGUCGUUGAUUUCACACUGCCGAGAAAAGCCUCUAGAUAGAAAAUAGGUGCCCGUACCGCAAACCGACACAGGUAGUCAAGAUGAGAAUUCUAAGGUGAGCGAGCGAACUCUCGUUAAGGAACUCGGCAAAAUGACCCCGUAACUUCGGGAGAAGGGGUGCUCUUUAGGGUUAACGCCCAGAAGAGCCGCAGUGAAUAGGCCCAAGCGACUGUUUAUCAAAAACACAGGUCUCUGCUAAACCGUAAGGUGAUGUAUAGGGGCUGACGCCUGCCCGGUGCUGGAAGGUUAAGAGGAGUGGUUAGCUUCUGCGAAGCUACGAAUCGAAGCCCCAGUAAACGGCGGCCGUAACUAUAACGGUCCUAAGGUAGCGAAAUUCCUUGUCGGGUAAGUUCCGACCCGCACGAAAGGCGUAACGAUUUGGGCACUGUCUCAACGAGAGACUCGGUGAAAUCAUAGUACCUGUGAAGAUGCAGGUUACCCGCGACAGGACGGAAAGACCCCGUGGAGCUUUACUGUAGCCUGAUAUUGAAAUUCGGCACAGCUUGUACAGGAUAGGUAGGAGCCUUUGAAACGUGAGCGCUAGCUUACGUGGAGGCGCUGGUGGGAUACUACCCUAGCUGUGUUGGCUUUCUAACCCGCACCACUUAUCGUGGUGGGAGACAGUGUCAGGCGGGCAGUUUGACUGGGGCGGUCGCCUCCUAAAAGGUAACGGAGGCGCUCAAAGGUUCCCUCAGAAUGGUUGGAAAUCAUUCAUAGAGUGUAAAGGCAUAAGGGAGCUUGACUGCGAGACCUACAAGUCGAGCAGGGUCGAAAGACGGACUUAGUGAUCCGGUGGUUCCGCAUGGAAGGGCCAUCGCUCAACGGAUAAAAGCUACCCCGGGGAUAACAGGCUUAUCUCCCCCAAGAGUUCACAUCGACGGGGAGGUUUGGCACCUCGAUGUCGGCUCAUCGCAUCCUGGGGCUGUAGUCGGUCCCAAGGGUUGGGCUGUUCGCCCAUUAAAGCGGUACGCGAGCUGGGUUCAGAACGUCGUGAGACAGUUCGGUCCCUAUCCGUCGUGGGCGU
rnacentral:rRNA from 1 species